rnacentral:tRNA from 1 species
ACCUGGGUGGCUCAGUUGGUUAAGCAUCUGACUUUCACUCAGGGCAUGAUCUCACAGUUCGUGGGUUCAAGCCCCGCGUCGGGCU